rnacentral:rRNA from 1 species
GGCUGGAUGACCUCCUUYGAGUUUGAUCCUGGCUCAGGCUGGAUGACCUCCUUAUAKUUUGMUSCWUAGCUCCGGGGGACUGGAAUUCAUACCGGAUACCCCUACGGGGGAAAGAUUUAUUGGGGAAGGAUUGGCCCGCGUUGUAUUAUUUAGUUGGUGGGGKAAAGGCCUACCAAGGCAACGAUCCAUAGCUGGUCUGAGAGGAUGAUCCKCCACUUGGGACUGAACACGGCCCAAACUCCUACGGGAGGCAGCAUGGGGAAUAUUGAACCAUGGGCGCGCCUGAUCCAGCCAUGCCGCGUGAGUGAUGAAGGCCUUACGGUUGUAAAGCUCUUUCACCGAUGAGUAUUGACUUUUUUCSGAGAAUAAGCCCCGGCUAACUUCGUGCCAGCARCCGCGGUAAUACGAAGGGGGCUAGCGUUGUUCGGAAUUACUGGGCGUAAAGCGCACGUARGCGGAUAUUUAASUCASGGGUGAAAUCCCGCAKCUCWWCUGCGGAACUGCCUUUGAUACUGGGUAUCUUGAGUAUGGAAKAGGUAAKUGGAAUUCCRAGUGUAGAGGUGAAAUUCRUASAUAUUCGGAGGAACACCWRUGGCRAARGCGGCUUACUGGUCCAUUACUGACGCUGAGGUGCGAAAGCGUGKGGAGCAAACAGGAUUASAUACCCUGGUAGUCCACKCCGUAAACRAUGAAUGUUAACCGUCGGGCAKUAUACUGUUCGGUGGCGCAGCUAACGCAUUAAACAUUCCGCCUGGGGAGUACGGUCGCAAGAUUAAAAUCRAARGAAUUGACKGGGGCCCGCACAAGCGGUGUAGCAUGUGGUUUAAUUCUAAGCAUCGCGCAGAACCUUACCARCUCUUGACAUUCGGGUAUGRGCWUUGGAKACGAUGUCCUUCAU